CCUACGGGUGGCUGCAGUGGGGAAUAUUGGACAAUGGGGGCAACCCUGAUCCAGCCAUGCCGCGUGUGUGAAGAAGGCCCUCGGGUUGUAAAGCACUUUCAGUGAGGAAGAACGCCUGGUGGUUAAUACCCAUCAGGAAAGACAUCACUCACAGAAGAAGCACCGGCUAACUCCGUGCCAGCAGCCGCGGUAAUACGGAGGGUGCGAGCGUUAAUCGGAAUUACUGGGCGUAAAGCGCGCGUAGGUGGCUUGAUAAGCCGGUUGUGAAAGCCCCGGGCUCAACCUGGGAACGGCAUCCGGAACUGUCAAGCUAGAGUGCAGGAGAGGAAGGUAGAAUUCCCGGUGUAGCGGUGAAAUGCGUAGAGAUCGGGAGGAAUACCAGUGGCGAAGGCGGCCUUCUGGACUGACUCUGACACUGAGGUGCGAAAGCGUGGGUAGCAAACAGGAUUAGAUACCCUAGUAGUC
rnacentral:rRNA from 1 species